rnacentral:piRNA from 1 species
UAACUGAAGUGCAUCGUACAAGAGAUUGA